AACGAACGCUGGCGGCAGGCCUAAUACAUGCAAGUCGAAGGCACCGCAAGGUGAGUGGCAGACGGGUGCGUAACGCGUGGGCACCUUUCUAGUAGUAAGGAAUAACUUCGGGAAACCGUAGCGAAUACCGUAAAAGCCCACCGGGGGAAGGAUUUAGCGCGACUAGAUGGGGCCGCGUCGGAUUAGCUACUUGGUGUGGUAAUGGCCCCCCAAGGCGACGAGCCGUAGCUGGUCUGAGAGGAUGAUCAGCCACACUGGGACUGAGACACGGCCCAGACUCCUACGGGAGGCAGCAGUAGGGAAUAUUGGACAAUGGGCGAAAGCCUGAUCCAGCCAUGCCGCGUGAGUGAAGAAGGCCUUAGGGUUGUAAAGCUCUUUUGGCGGGGAAGAUAAUGACGGUACCCGCAGAAUAAGCCCCGGCUAACUUCGUGCCAGCCGCCGCCGUAA
rnacentral:rRNA from 1 species